AGCUUUGUGCAGUGGCAGUAUCGUAGUCAAUGAGGUUUAUCCAAGUCGUAGUUAUUGCUAAUUGAAAAAAAAUGUGAUACCUCACUGUAGUUUUAAUUUGUAUUUCCCUGAUGAUUAGUAAUGUUGAACAUCUUUUUAUGU